rnacentral:lncRNA from 1 species
AGUAGUCUACUCUGUCUGGGUGGGGAAAGGUAGGUCUACUCUGUCUGGGGUGGAAAGGUAGGCAUACUCUGUCUGGGGUGGAAAGGUAGGCCUACUCUGUCUGGGUGGAAGGUAGGCUACUCUUUGGGGGGAAAGGUAGGGGGGUGGAAAGGUAGGGCCUACUCUGUCUGGGUGGAAAGGUAGUCCUACUCUGUCUGGGGUGGAAAGGUAGGGUCUACUCUGUCUGGGGUGGAAAGGUAGGGUCUACUCUGUCUGGGGUGGAAAGGUAGGUCCUACUCUUUCUGGGGUGGAAGGUAGACCUACUCUGUCUGGGGUUGAAAGGUAGGUUUACUCUGUCUGGGGUGGAAAGGUAGACCCUACUCUGUCUGGGUUGGAAAGGUGGUUUACUCUGUCUGGGGUGGAAAGGUAGGCCCUACUCUGUCUGGGGUGGAAAGUAGACCUACUCUGUCUGGGAUGGAAAGGUAGACCUCUCGUCUGGGGUGGAAAGGUAGGCCCUACUCUGUCUGGGGUGGAAAGGUAGGGGGGUGGAAAGGUAGACCUACUCUGUCUGGGGUGGAAAAGUAGACCUACUCUGUCUGGGGUGGAAGGCCCUACUUUUGAAAGUACCAUGCUCAGAAUCCUAUUGACGUCUCAGAUAAAAUUAUUUUCAAACAAGGACAGUUUUGUUUCAAACAAGACACCGUGAUUUGGCAUUGGAGAAACAUGAUAAGAUGAACACAUCUCUAUUUCUCGGUCUGACUAUCUCUCGGUCCAUUAGCCUGUCAUUUCUGUCAUUUGUGUGGUAUUAAAACAUAUUCUGCUAAUAUGUAAAAUAACAUAGAAAUGCAUUAAAUGUUUAUCCCCCUAAGGUCGCUGUCCACGCCCCCGUGGACAUCUAAUUAGCAUCAUAAUUUAAUCCCCAUAAAAAUCUGUCAGUUUAAACUGGAGAUGUC